GCCGGAAUGAAUGAGGGAUGUAUAAGAAAAAGGGAUGGAGGAAGAUCAAGCCUAGCUAGGAGGCAAAGGAUGGAGUUUCAACUGGCCAGUGACAUGCACCCACAUCACCAGGGCACCCAGGAGGAAGGCCGUUUGGAAGGAAUGAGACCAGGUAAUGAAUUCUGAUACAACGACUCUCCCACGCUUAGAAAGAACAAGAGCUGCUGUCUGGCAAGGAUGAGACUCAGACUCUAAACUCAGAUGGGGCAUACCUUGAACUGGAACACAGGUGUCUGCACGGACCUCUCAGCUCACGAUGUUCUCAAGUUCUCUGUGGAAGUGGACACAGCAUCACACGGUUCAUCAAGACAGCUGGUGCUUCUGCUCAGGAAGCUCGAGGGGCAAGGAACAGCCUCUCCGCAUGUUUUACCCCAAUGCCAGCCUGCUGCCAAUGCAACUUAAUGGACUCUGCUUUUGGAGCCCAGCAGCCUUCCGUGGGCUAUAAUCUACCCAUCAUUAGCGAACAACCAAAAAGCUCCUCUAGAACACGCUUCGGACAUCGAAACCUGUUUAACAGGAAGGGCCCAGUCGUACUGUGAGACUGCCCAUAUGCCUCUUGGGUCCCUUCUUACAACCUGCCCCUAACUACUGGAGCUGAGGGGAGUGAGGACACAGCCCGGCACCCCAGCCUUGCCUGGCCUCCCCACUUCUUCCCCACAGUGCAGUCCCAGCCAGCCUCUGUUCGGCCCCACCUAAUUCCCCUACCACAUGGGUCCAAAGCCCGGCUUGCUUGGCCUAAAGCCUAGCUUCCUAAGGGUCCUGGGUGACCCUGGCAUGCCUGGGGGCCCUCAGAAUGCAGUUUCCCUUUACCUCCACUGAGUCCACACACGAUGUCUGCGAGGAACAGCGGCAGAGAGGGAGUGGGCUUUGGAGUCAGACAGGCCUGGGUUCGGAUCUCAGCUCAGCCACUUCCUUGCUGUAGACUUAUUCCCUCUUGUGGUGCUAUUUUUAGUAUUUCAUCUUAUUUGUCUUAGUCUGCCUUGGUUUCCUGGUCAUCCUCCUAGGCUACCAGAUUUCCAGGUGAGGCUCAUCCCAAUCUACUUGGCCAGAGUCUCAGUGCCUGCCUACCUAUCCUCCAGUGCUCACCCUGGGGUGACUGGGACCUGUCUCCUGAUCCUCGGCUAUUUCCUGGGUCCACCUGGGUGUCAGCCUCUCAUUUCCCAACUCCUGGGGUCCACCCCUUCAGAGUCCGGCCCAUAGCCUGCCUCAUCUCCCUGGCCCACAGCCUUAUUCUCCUCCCCCAAGUCUCCUACUGAGAGCCCAGAAAGCAUCACAGCUGAGCCCACCUGGAACAUAACACUCCACUGCUGAGUAAGCUCCCCUUGCAGCUAAAAUCGUUUUUUCGAUAGUGAGGAUUUCUUGCUAAUGAACUGGCUAAAUAAUCUUCAGCUCACUUCUGAAUGAAUACAACUGGUUCUAGUCAAAGGCGCUUCGGAUCACUGGGCCGAGCUUUUCUUCCUUCCCCACACCACAGUCCUACGUCCUUUGCAUUCCUGCCAUAAUUUACACAUUAAACUUUUCUUUUUUUUUUUUUUUUUGAGACAAAGUCUCUGUCGCCCAGGCUGGAGUGCAGUGGUGUGAUCUCGGCUCACUGCAACCUCCACCUUCCAGGUUCAAGUGAUAAUUGUGCCUUCCGAGUAGCUGGGAUUACAGGCACCUACCACCACACCCAGCUAAUUUUUGUAUUUUUA